CCUACGGGAGGCAGCAGUGAGGAAUAUUGGUCAAUGGACGAGAGUCUGAACCAGCCAAGUAGCGUGAAGGAUGACUGCCCUAUGGGUUGUAAACUUCUUUUAUAUGGGAAUAAAAUGUUCCACGUGUGGGAUUUUGUAUGUACCAUAUGAAUAAGGAUCGGCUAACUCCGUGCCAGCAGCCGCGGUAAUACGGAGGAUCCGAGCGUUAUCCGGAUUUAUUGGGUUUAAAGGGAGCGUAGGUGGAUUGUUAAGUCAGUUGUGAAAGUUUGCGGCUCAACCGUAAAAUUGCAGUUGAAACGGGCAGUCUUGAGGACAGUAGAGGUGGGCGGAAUUCGUGGUGUAGCGGUGAAAUGCUUAGAUAUCACGAAGAACUCCGAUUGCGAAGGCAGUUCACUGGACUGCAACUGACACUGAGGCUCGAAAGUGUGGGUAUCAAACAGGAUUAGAUACCCCUGUAGUC
rnacentral:rRNA from 1 species